rnacentral:lncRNA from 1 species
GUUCGUCCCAUUCUCUGUUUCAGGAGUCUUGUUGACACAGUCUAUGCGUUGAAGGAUGAAGUCCAGGAGUUGAGACAGGAUAACAAAAAGAUGAAGAAAUCUCUGGAAGAGGAGCAGAGAGCCCGCAAAGACCUGGAAAAGCUGGUGAGGAAAGUUCUCAAGAACAUGAACGACCCUGCCUGGGACGAGACCAACCUCUGAGGAGCGUCGUGGCUUCUUCCUCCGAGACCAGCUGGGAGACCGAGCCGGGAGCCCCAUGACCCUAGCCAGGGUGACCUUCAGGGCCGUGGGGCAGGGCUGCACAAAAGUCAGCUUGCUUUCUGGGCAUGGAAAAGCCGGAGUUUAUCACACAAAUAGAAAUGGUCACAUUGUUCCUGAAGAAUCCAAACACGAGGUGUAGACCCUGGGGGCUGAACUGCAUUAAUUUUACUCUGUUAACAUCUCAAUUACCUCAUUUUGCAAAAACCCAUGACAACACCUCCAUUUCCGCCUGGG